rnacentral:rRNA from 1 species
AUUGAACGCUGGCGGCAUGCCUUACACAUGCAAGUCGAACGGUAACAGGUCUUCGGAUGCUGACGAGUGGCGAACGGGUGAGUAAUACAUCGGAACGUGCCUAGUAGUGGGGGAUAACUACUCGAAAGAGUGGCUAAUAUCGCAUGAGAUCUACGGAUGAAAGCAGGGGAUCGCAAGACCUUGUGCUACUAGAGCGGCCGAUGGCAGAUUAGGUAGUUGGUGGGAUAAAAGCUUACCAAGCCGACGAUCUGUAGCUGGUCUGAGAGGACGAUCAGCCACCCUGGGACUGAGACUCGGCCCAGAAUCCUACGGGAGGCAGCAGUGGGGAAUUUUGGACAAUGGGCGAAAGCCUGAUCCAGCAAUGCCGCGUGCAGGAUGAAGGCCUUCGGGUUGUAAACUGCUUUUGUACGGAACGAAAAGCCCUGGGUUAAUACCCUGGGGUCAUGACGGUACCGUAAGAAUAAGCACCGGCUAACUACGUGCCAGCCGCCGCGGUAAAAC